UAGGGAAUCUUCGGCAAUGGACGAAAGUCUGACCGAGCAACGCCGCGCGAGUGAAGAAGGUUUUCGGAUCGUAAAACUCUGUUGUUAGAGAAGAACAAGGACGUUAGUAACUGAACGUCCCCUGACGGUAUCUAACCAGAAAGCCACGGCUAACUACGUGCCAGCAGCCGCGGUAAUACGUAGGUGGCAAGCGUUGUCCGGAUUUAUUGGGCGUAAAGCGAGCGCAGGCGGUUUCUUAAGUCUGAUGUGAAAGCCCCCGGCUCAACCGGGGAGGGUCAUUGGAAACUGGGAGACUUGAGUGCAGAAGAGGGGAGUGGAAUUCCAUGUGUAGCGGUGAAAUGCGUAGAUAUAUGGAAGAACACCAGUGGCGAAGGCGGCUCUCUGGUCUGUAACUGACGCUGAGGCUCGAAAGCGUGGGGAGCAAACAGG
rnacentral:rRNA from 1 species